GUACUACUAACUCCGUCCAACAAAAAAUGUCUCAAGUUUGUCAAAAUUUUGAUGUAUCUAGACAUGACUUGGUGUAUAGAUGCAUUCAAAUUUAGUCAAAGUUGAAACAUCUUUUGUUGGACGGAUGGAAUAUGAU
rfam:Brachypodium distachyon strain Bd21 chromosome 4, whole genome shotgun sequence.